UGCAGCUACCAGAGAUGAAUAUCUAUGUAUGGGUCAGACUGACUGAGAGCCGGAGAGCAGUGAUUGGUCAGACUGAGAGCCGGGGAGCAGUGAUUGGUUAGACUGAGCCGAGGACUCUGUCCCGCCCACAUUUACGGCUUCUGCUGUUUACCUGCUGCUGCUAACAACGUUAGCGUCCAAAAGUGAAGAUAAACUCUGCAGCCUUGGUCUGGAUCAUUGGGAACAUCUAGUCUGAUGGAUGAGAGCUCCAGAGAACAUGAACAUCCAGCUGUGGUUGUCUGAAGAGUCUUUUCUCCUUCAUCACUGUGAGGAAGAGCAGCACUGAUGUCCUCCUCAUCCUUCCAGUAAUAACAAUAAUGCUGCAGAUUCAGCUCCUCUCUUCAGAAUACAACUUGUCUUGAGACUGUUCAGUAUCUACACUUCACUGUCAGCAACACAUUAUUUAUUUCAUGUGUUUACACAUUGUUACAGUUCACAAUAGUUAAACAAUGUAGUUUUUAAAUGUGCAAUAAAGGAACUAAUGAAGCUCUUGA